AGGCAUGAGGCUGAUCUCCCUGUGACAUGUCACCCUGUUGAUCUCCAAGGUUGAUGGAGCUGGUCCGGCUGGCUAGGGGGAGACCCACUUCAUCCUUCACUGCUCCGUGUGCAUCUCUCCUGAACCUCACUACAUUCAAAAGAAUGAUCUUCCACAUCGAAGCUUCAAACAAACUUCAAACCAACUCUCAAAACAGGGAUGCCAAGUGGAGAGGGAGGGAGAAGGAAGAAUUCUCCAUGUCCAGAAGGAGCAGGUAGGUACACUGGUGUAGCUGAUUUCU
rnacentral:sRNA from 1 species